rnacentral:lncRNA from 1 species
AUUUUUAUUAUUGUUAUUUUAUUGAUAGGUGAGAAAAAUAGGAAUGAGCCUAUUGUUGCACAAAUUUUAUUGAACUCGCAAGUGCACGAAUAUAUUGUAGAAUAAAUCAAUUGUGACGAGUGUCGAUCCCACAAGGAUGUGAAUUUUAAUUAUAUGUAGAAUUAAUUUUCUAUGAAUGUGGUUGGAUUUGUGGGGAAAGUGAUUUAGACUAUCUUAGAAUUUAAAUUGGAAUGGCGGAAUUAAAUUAAAGUGAAAACUAUUAUAAUUGAAGCACUUGGGUAUCUGGAUCCGUAUCAACAUACACCAUCGGCUAAAUAUUCCUUAUUAGUGCUAAUUAAAUCAUGAGGGGGGAAUCCACACCUCAUGAAUCACACUCUAAUAAAUAUGGUACUAAGGGCUUAUCGUGCCAAAUAAUAAUAACCUUGUACUAGGGAGCCAGUGAAAUCAGGGCGGUAUCUAGACAAGAUUAUUAUUAUUUGUCGACAAAAAGUCAAAACAUCCACAAAAAUUAGAGGGGAAGAGAAAAUAAAUUUACCAAGUAAAGCCCGUGACACAUGUUGAGACUUCACCUUCAACCCAAGCUUGAAAGAAAAUUAGCUACUCAUAAUUGAACUAGGGGUAAAAUAGAAAUUUAUUAAAAUACGUAGAAAAUACAAGAUAGCAAAGGAAUUAUAGAAAAUGGAGUUCAAAAAUGAAUUCAGAAAUGCCAAAUUAGGGGGGAGAGACCCUAUUUUUAUAGAUACAUUGAGUAAAUCAUGGUCAUCGGAUUAAAAACAGUUUAGUCGCUCAUGAUUGCACCACGUCAUCAAUCAACAGUACGCGGUUUGACCAUGUGGUUUGAACAGUGACAUGGUUUGACUACGUGGUUUGAACAAUCAACAAGCUUGAACAAUGACGUGGUUUGGUUGAAAAUAAUCCUGUGUAUAUGCAUGUACUGUACGCAUGAUUUUUGGUCCAUUAACAUGCUGCCACGUCACCGAUCAACAAUGUAUAAGAAUUUUCUCCAAUGGAAUUGUGACACCUCAUCAGUCAAUGUCACGUCAUCAUUCCGUAUGUGUGAACAGUGUUGUGAACAGUAACAUGGACAGUAUCGUACAUGUGAGCAAUGUCAUUUUUCCUUUUAUGCUCCUCCUAAGGUUUUCGACUGUCCUGAGUUCAAAAGUGAUGUCCGUUUUGCUGUCUGAGCUCUCGUUAUUGUGAAAUGAUCAUGAUGCCCCUAAAAUACAUAAAAUACUUAAUUAAAAUAAAAUACACAUAAUUAAAUCACAAGAAGCUUAAAUACAUAAAAGUAAGGAUGUUAAUAAGAUUUGAAAUGUAAAAUGACGAUUUUCUCCUUUAUAAAUAUAUAUUUUCUAACACUUAACACACCCCCAACCAGCUUAUUGCUAGUCCCUAGCAAAUAAAGCGAAAAUAAAAUUCAAACCCAAAACUAUUUUUUUAAAAUACUCUUGUUUAUUCAAUCAGACUAAUGAUAGUAAUCAAAUAAAAGUAUAAAUAUUAUCUCCAAUAUAAAGAAACAUCACACCUACAUUCACCAUUCACAUGCAUCAGUCCAGCAGACUUUGUCAAAGUUACUUUCAAGAAUAACAUGUCAAACCCCAAAAUCUCACUCAUAGUAGUGACACUCUCACAAAAAAAUUAAACCCAAUAAAAAUAGUACUCUAAUGAAUGGUAAAUUGAGAGAAAAUAAUAAAAAAAUAAUAUCACACGCUCUCACUAGGAUGAAAGAAAUAUGCCCUCAGCUUAGAAAUAAUAAUAUGAUAUCAAGUCAAACAAAAUGCUAGUCAACCCAAUUUAUUUAUUUAUUUUUUUAUGCACCAUUACAUCUUUUUAGCCCAUAUAAUUAGCUUCUACUUCAGACUAUAGCUCCCUAAAAUCAGGAAUGACUUUUAUUAGAAUGUAACGUAGGCUAAGGACAUGGUUAACAAAUGAAGGAAAAUAGAAAAAAAUAAAAUUUAUGUUUGAGAAAAAGUAGAAAUCUUUUGGAAAUUACAAGGUGGAUUUCACCUAUUAUUGCUUUUUUUUUCUUUUUUUUUGAACUAAAAUUUUUUUUUUUUGCACAACUUCACUGAACAAAAUAAUUAUUUACAUAUUUCUCAAACAUAAAUAGGUGAUGGAGCUUGUGAGAUAUCGAGUAAUACUCCAAAUCGGAGUGGGUC